rnacentral:rRNA from 1 species
GCCACGGUAAUACGGAGGAUGCAAGCGUUAUCCGGAAUGAUUGGGCGUAAAGGGUCUGCAGGUGGAACUGAAAGUCUGCUGUUAAAGAGUUUGGCUUAACCAAAUAAAAGCGGUGGAAACUACAGAACUAGAGUGCGGUAGGGGCAAAAGGAAUUCCUGGUGUAGCGGUGAAAUGCGUAGAUAUCAGGAAGAACACCGGUGGCGAAAGCGUUUUGCUAGACCGUAACUGACACUGAGGGACGAAAGCUAGGGGAGCGAAAGGGAUUAGAUACCUGUAGU